ACGAAUUUCGAUUCGGUCUUCUGUGCUGGUGGCAACACAUGUGCACGUUGAUCGUAAUUCCAUUCUCCUUUCAAUCGUCCAAGUGUGUUCGGUCGGCCUUUUGGGUCGAAGAAGCGUGGCCGCCAGGCUCGUUUCGUUCUGAGCGCACAUUGGUUAUUUCACCCACUCUGGGUACUCGAAACAAAGAAAACAAAUCAUAUAAAUUAAA
rnacentral:misc_RNA from 1 species